rnacentral:rRNA from 1 species
GGGACACUGGGUCUACUACUGGAUAUGACCUCCUGUCGCAUGGUGGGGGGUGGACAGGGUUUGUACUGGUUGUGGAUGGGCUCACGGCCUAUCAGCUUGUUGGUGGGGUAAUGGCCUACCAAGGCGACGACGGGUAGCCGGCCUGAGAGGGUGACCGGCCACACUGGGACUGAGACACGUUUCAGACUCCUACGGGAGGCAGAAGUGGGGAAUAUUGCACAAUGGGCGCAAGCCUGAUGCAGCGACGCCGGCGUGAGGUGAUGACGGCCUUCGGGUUGUAAACCUCUUUCAGCACGGAAGAAGCGAAAGUGACGGUACGUGCAGAAGAAGCGCCGGCUAACUACGUGCCAGCAGCCGCGGUAAUACGUAGGGCGCAAGCGUUGUCCGGAAUUAUUGGGCGUAAAGAGCUCGUAGNCGGUUUUUCGCGUCUGCUGUGAAAGCCCGGGGCUUAACCCCGGGUGUGCAGUGGGUACGGGCAGACUUGAGUGCAGUAGGGGAGACUGGAACUCCUGGUGUAGCGGUGAAAUGCGCAGAUAUCAGGAAGAACACCGAUGGCGAAGGCAGGUCUCUGGGCUGUUACUGACGCUGAGGAGCGAAAGCAUGGGGAGCGAACAGGAUUAGAUACCCUGGUAGUCCAUGCCGUAAACGUUGGGCACUAGGUGUGGGGGACAUUCCACGUUUUCCGCGCCGUAGCUAACGCAUUAAGUGCCCCGCCUGGGGAGUACGGCCGCAAGGCUAAAACUCAAAGGAAUUGACGGGGGCCCGCACAAGCGGCGGAGCA